rnacentral:tmRNA from 1 species
GGGGAUGAUCGGUUUCGACUUGGGACGGUAGUUCCAGGGGAAGCGGGCCGAGGAUGCAGGAUUAUCUCGUUAACGAUGCCUGCGAAAAAACAAGUGCCGAUGCAAAUCGCGCCGACUUUGCUCUUGCCGCCUGAUCGGUAAUCAAAGGGUCAACCCGGGAUCGGCUUUCGUCCCGGAACUUGGCCUAGUCAAGAAAGCUCACUCGCGUACCUACGCCUUAGGGACACGCGCAGGACAUUAACUAGGGCUGGGCUUGUCUGCAACUAGCCGAUAGAAGUGCAGGAGCCAAGUAGAACGCCAACUAUCGGCUGCGCCCGGAGAAUACCUGUUUCACCUUUUGAGGACGGGGGUUCGAUUCCCCCCAUCUCCACAC